CAUUUUGUGACUCCUCCUUGGGAUGCAAGAUGGGGAAUGCAGUUCAGACUCAGGCAGUCCUGGCUCCAGUCCCCACUGUCUCAAGCCACAGUUCAACGUCUGUCUCUCUGUCUCUCUCUGUCUCUCUCAUCAAACAAGCAUGUUACAGCCGUGCUCUGCUACCAGCAGGCUCCUGCGUGGCUACAUCCGGACUCCGGGGCGCAGAAGGAGGCGCGAAAGAAUGUCUGGCCUCAUAUCCGGCUAGACUUGUGUGGCCUCUCUGCCCUGCCUCGUGGCUAGUGCCCCUGGGAGCAGAGCCAGCCUCAGGGAAUGUCACCCCACGUUGGGAUGAGUCACCCCACCACCCCUGGCCUUCAGCUAAAGCAGAUUCUCCCGCCACCCCCCUUGGCACUGGAUCAAGGCCUUGUCUACCCUUGGAAGGCUUCAUAAUCCCAGAAAUAUAGGGCUACAAGAGACCUCAAAAGGCUAUCCAGCCUAUCUCCCUGUGCUGAGGCAGUACACAAGAUACCUGGAAGGUCCCACAGAGAUGUCCUGGAGAAAUCUCCAAUGAAGGGAAUUCUACCUCUUCUCCAGCAGCAGCAACCCACACAAUCCAGAGGAGAGGAGUCUUCAGGCAUGAUUGACAGCCAGUUACCAGCCCCAGGGAGCUUCAAACAAAAGAGGCCCAGAC